UACGGAGGGUGCAAGCGUUGCUCGGAAUUACUGGGCGUAAAGGGCUCGUAGGCGGCCAACUAAGUCAGACGUGAAAUCCCUCGGCUUAACCGGGGAACUGCAUCUGAUACUGGAUGGCUCGAGUUUGGGAGAGGGAUGCGGAAUUCCAGGUGUAGCGGUGAAAUGCGUAGAUAUCUGGAGGAACACCGGUGGCGAAGGCGGCAUCCUGGACCAACACUGACGCUGAUGAGCGAAAGCCAGGGGAGCAAACGGG
rnacentral:rRNA from 1 species